GGUUAAGCGACUAAGCGUACACGGUGGAUGCCUAGGCAAUCAGAGGCGAUGAAGGACGUGCUAAUCUGCGAAAAGCGUCGGUAAGGUGAUAUGAACCGUUAUAGCCGACGAUGUCCGAAUGGGGAAACCCAGUGCAAUUCGUUGCACUAUCGUUUGAUGAAUCCAUAGUCAAACGAGGCGAACCGGGGGAACUGAAACAUCUCAGUACCCCGAGGAAAAGAAAUCAACCGAGAUUCCCCUAGUAGCGGCGAGCGAACGGGGAGCAGCCCAGAGUCUUAAUCAGCAUCAGCAUCAGGAGAACGGUCUGGAAAGGCCGGCAAUAAAGGGUGAUAGCCCCGUAUCCGAAGGUGUUGGUGUUGUGAACUCGACGAGUAGGGCGGGACACGUGUUAUCCUGUCUGAAUAUGGGGGGACCAUCCUCCAAGGCUAAAUACUCCUGAUUGACCGAUAGUGAACCAGUACCGUGAGGGAAAGGCGAAAAGAACCCCGGCGAGGGGAGUGAAAUAGAACCUGAAACCGUGUACGUACAAGCAGUGGGAGCCUUGAUUUAUCAGGGUGACUGCGUACCUUUUGUAUAAUGGGUCAGCGACUUAUAUUCUGUAGCAAGGUUAACCGAAUAGGGGAGCCGUA
rnacentral:rRNA from 1 species